rnacentral:rRNA from 1 species
GAUGAACGCUGGCGGCGUGCCUAAUACAUGCAAGUCGAGCGAACAGACGAGGAGCUUGCUCCUCUGACGUUAGCGGCGGACGGGUGAGUAACACGUGGAUAACCUACCUAUAAGACUGGGAUAACUUCGGGAAACCGGAGCUAAUACCGGAUAAUAUAUUGAACCGCAUGGUUCAAUAGUGAAAGACGGUUUUGCUGUCACUUAUAGAUGGAUCCGCGCCGCAUUAGCUAGUUGGUAAGGUAACGGCUUACCAAGGCAACGAUGCGUAGCCGACCUGGGAGGGGGAUCGGCCACACUGGAACUGAGACACGGUCCAGACUCCUACGGGAGGCAGCAGUAGGGAAUCUUCCGCAAUGGGCGAAAGCUUGACGGAGCAACGCCGCGUGAGUGAUGAAGGUCUUCGGAUCGGAAAACUCUGUUAUUAGGGAAGAACAAAUGUGUAAGUAACUAUGCACGUCUUGACGGUACCUAAUCAGAAAGCCACGGCUAACUACGUG